rnacentral:rRNA from 1 species
UACAGAGGUCUCAAGCGUUGUUCGGAUUCAUUGGGCGUAAAGGGUGCGUAGGCGGCGCGGUAAGUCGGGUGUGAAAUCUCGGAGCUUAACUCCGAAACUGCAUUCGAUACUGCCGUGCUUGAGGACUGGAGAGGAGACUGGAAUUUACGGUGUAGCGGUGAAAUGCGUAGAUAUCGUAAGGAAGACCAGUGGCGGAGGCGGGUCUCUGGACAGUUCCUGACGCUGAGGCACGAAGGCCAGGGGAGCAAACGGG